rnacentral:rRNA from 1 species
CAGUAGCCGCGGGAAUACGGAGGGGGCUAGCGUUGUUCGGAAUUACUGGGCGUAAAGCGCACGUAGGCGGCUUUGUAAGUCAGAGGUGAAAGCCCGGGGCUCAACCCCGGAAUUGCCUUUGAGACUGCAUCGCUUGAAUCCAGGAGAGGUGAGUGGAAUUCCGAGUGUAGAGGUGAAAUUCGUAGAUAUUCGGAAGAACACCAGUGGCGAAGGCGGCUCACUGGACUGGUAUUGACGCUGAGGUGCGAAAGCGUGGGGAGCAAACAGGAUUAGAGACCCCAGUAGUCCCUGUCUCUUAUAC